rnacentral:lncRNA from 1 species
CUCAGAGUGACUGAUCAAUGAAAAACCACCACACAAAAACUUCUUUACUCCUCUAUAAGACCAAAAACCGAUACAGAAAUAACAUAGAAAGCCUGAUUUUCUUUCCCUUUCCUAUCCACCAAUAGAUGCUGCCCCCCCUCCCCCAAAAAGGACUGGGAGUAAAGUAAGAAAAUAGACCCAGGUUUCUUUCGUUUAAAGGAGGAUGCAAUUUUGCCCGUGAAUGCAUUUUCUCAAAAUGCGUUGGCUUCAUUUCUCCUUUGCUAAAGAAUAUCAGCGGAUUUGCUAAUGUGAGUUGCUUCUAGACUGGUCUGUGGUUUUCCGUUCUUUUUAUUUCUUUCCUCCCCUUUGGGCAUUUUUUUUUUUCUGCUUCAAAAAAAGAGACAAUUCUUUUAUAAAUAACUGGAAAAGGAAAUUACUCCAGGUCCUCUCUCUCUCUCUCUCUUUUUUGUUUAGCCUUUGCUUAAGUCGGGUUAUCUUUUGUCUUUAUCACUUCAUAAAGUAACGCAAUUAAAGAUGUGAUGUUGCAUGGGUGUAAAGGGUGGAUCCAUAAUACGGAGACAUGCUACGCUGUAUUCUCGCCUGAAAGUUUGCAGCUAAAUUACGAUUUCGCCUUUCCUAGACUUAAAAAUCAAUAUUUUCUCAAUUAAAGAGAAUUUUAAUGCUUUACUUGCGAGUUGUUAAAGGCGCUGUAAAUUUUAUUGUAAUGCUUCUUGGCUUCGGAGUAGAUGCAGGAGACCGGUUGAUUCUUGUGGUCUUUUUCCUCUCAGAGAACCUAGUCCAGGAACAUCCAGUGUGUCAGAUCAAAUCCCAGCAACAAAGCUGCGUGAAACUGCAAAGCCGGUCUCGAAGCUCUGAGCGACUCGGCUGUCUCGUCCACAUAUAACAUCAGAGCGCCCCCUGCUGGCGAGCGGAGUAGACCGCCGCGGGUCAGCCCCCUGCGAAGUAAACCGUGUUUUUCUGCGCCCCUGCCCCCCAUCACCCUGACGCCCUUCCACCACCCUCACCUCCGUUCUGCAGCAAAAGCCCGCGGCAGGGGAAUAGCUUGCCAAGGCUGAACAUUUAAAUGAAUAAAUGAUUAAAAAACUAAUAAUAAAAUACGAAG